GAUGAACGCUGGCGGCGUGCCUAAUACAUGCAAGUCGAGCGAACAGAUAAGGAGCUUGCUCCUUUGACGUUAGCGGCGGACGGGUGAGUAACACGUGGGUAACCUACCUAUAAGACUGGGAUAACUUCGGGAAACCGGAGCUAAUACCGGAUAACAUUUGGAACCGCAUGGUUCUAAAGUGAAAGAUGGUUUUGCUAUCACUUAUAGAUGGACCCGCGCCGUAUUAGCUAGUUGGUAAGGUAACGGCUUACCAAGGCGACGAUACGUAGCCGACCUGAGAGGGUGAUCGGCCACACUGGAACUGAGACACGGUCCAGACUCCUACGGGAGGCAGCAGUAGGGAAUCUUCCGCAAUGGGCGAAAGCCUGACGGAGCAACGCCGCGUGAGUGAUGAGGGGUUUCGGCUCGUAUAACUCUGUUAUUAGGGAAGAACAAAUGUGUAAGUAACUGUGCACGUCUUGACGGUACCUAAUCAGAAAGCCACGGCUAACUACGUG
rnacentral:rRNA from 1 species